rnacentral:rRNA from 1 species
AACGAACGCUGGCGGCAGGCCUAACACAUGCAAGUCGAACGCACCCUUCGGGAAGCGUGGCUCACGGGUGAGUAACGCGUGGGAAUCUACCCUUCUCUACGGAAUAGCUCCGGGAAAGUGGAAUUAAUACCGUAUAGGUCCUUAGGACCAAAGAUUUAUCGGGGAAGGAUGAGCCCGCGUUGGAUUAGCUAGUUGGUGGGGUAAAGGCCUACCAAGGCGACGAUCCAUAGCUGGUCUAAGAGGAUGAUCAGCCACAUUGGGACUGAGACACGGCCCAAACUCCUACGGGAGGGAGCAGUGGGGAAUAUUGGACAAGGGGCGCAAGCCUGAUACAGCCAUGCCGCGUGAGUUAUGAAGGCCGGAGGGUAGUAAAGCUCUUUCAGUGGGGACGAUAAUGACGGUACCCAGAGAAGAAGCCCCGGCUAACUUCGUG